AUUGAACGCUGGCGGCGGGCCUAACACAUGCAAGUCGAGCGGAUGACGGGAGCUUGCUCCUUGAUUCAGCGGCGGACGGGUGAGUAAUGCCUAGGAAUCUGCCUGGUAGUGGGGGACAACGUUUCGAAAGGAACGCUAAUACCGCAUACGUCCUACGGGAGAAAGCAGGGGACCUUCGGGCCUUGCGCUAUCAGAUGAGCCUAGGUCGGAUUAGCUAGUAGGUGAGGUAAUGGCUCACCUAGGCGACGAUCCGUAACUGGUCUGAGAGGAUGAUCAGUCACACUGGAACUGAGACACGGUCCAGACUCCUACGGGAGGCAGCAGUGGGGAAUAUUGGACAAUGGGCGAAAGCCUGAUCCAGCCAUGCCGCGUGUGUGAAGAAGGUCUUCGGAUUGUAAAGCACUUUAAGUUGGGAGGAAGGGUUGUACGUUAAUACCGUGCAAUUUUGACGUUACCGACAGAAUAAGCACCGGCUAACUCUGUGCCAGCAGCCGCGGUAAUAC
rnacentral:rRNA from 1 species